rnacentral:rRNA from 1 species
GACGAACGCUGGCGGCGUGCUUAACACAUGCAAGUCGAACGGUAAGGCCCUUCGGGGUACACGAGUGGCGAACGGGUGAGUAACACGUGGGUGAUCUGCCCUGCACUUCGGGAUAAGCCUGGGAAACUGGGUCUAAUACCGGAUAGGACCACUGCCUGCGUGGGUGGUGGUGGAAAGCUUUUGCGGUGUGGGAUGGGCCCGCGGCCUAUCAGCUUGUUGGUGGGGGGAGGGCCUACCAAGGCGACGACGGGUAGCCGGCCUGAGAGGGUGACCGGCCACACUGGGACUGAGAUACGGCCCAGACUCCUACGGGAGGCAGCAGUGGGGAAUAUUGCACAAUGGGCGCAAGCCUGAUGCAGCGACGCCGCGUGAGGGAUGACGGCCUUCGGGUUGUAAACCUCUUUCAGCACCGACGAAGCGCAAGUGACGGUAGGUGCAGAAGAAGGACCGGCCAACUACGUGCCAGCAGCCGCCGUAAGAC